UCUUUUGCAGUGUGGGGGUUGCCUUUCACAACCUUGGACAGUUUAAUUUUGCACAACGCAAACUAGAAGAAGCUCGUCGGUGCCAAGAGUUUUCUUUCUCUACUAUUCGACCCGCAUUGUCCUUUGCUGUCAGCACCAAAGAUAAAUAUGAGAAAAAAAUCAUAUUGUGUUUUUAUCGGUCGGUGCCCGGGUCUGUAUGAAAGCUGGGAAGAGUGUAAGGCUCAGACUUCUAAGUAUUCAAAUCCUAUGCAUUUGACUCCGAAGAUGAGGCUUUGACAGCCUAUGCUAGAUUUUUUUAAGAAGGCUUAUGGUGCAAGAAUAAUCCGCGGUAAAUAUGUCCUAUUUGUCAAAGUUCACUUGAAAUCAACAUCUCAAAUCGAAAAGAAAAUGUUGGACAACAUUAUUAUAGUUGUCAAACUAAGGGAUGUGCAUAUUUGCAAUGGGUUGAUGCCAUAAUGAAGCACCGUAAACCACGUAAACCAUGCAAGGUGAUUGUACCUUUUAUAUUUCUCUGAUUUUAAGGAAUUGUUAUGCUAUUUGAUUUUUCAAUUUAUUUGUUGCUAGGUUGGUGAGUCUAGCAGCUCUAGUUCUUCAACAAGUGAAGUUGUAAUUGAUGAGCUUCAAGUUGCUCAACACGAAAGAGACCGUGCAAUUAUGAAGUAUGAGUUGUAUAAAGAAGUAUUAAGUGAAUUUAUCAGCAUGACGUUGAAGGACAAAUAAGCUCUUAUGUAAGGACCAUGCAACAAGUUAAAACAAUUUCAGUACCCCCACGUUGAAAACAAAAAACAAUACAAUUGCACCCUUUUUUGGGUUUUUAGGCAGUGUUUUGAACUGGUUGAACUGCCAGUUGAACUGGUUGGUAACGUCAAUGCUGUUGUGUAACUAUUCUAUUCUUUUACUCAUUUAUUUGUUGAAUUUCUACCAAUUUCUUUACUAGUUUUCAAAGGAUGCCAUUAAAUUCUUUUCA